GGCGACAGACGCUCCGAGAUGCCGAAGGGCCAGCAGCGGCCCCGAAGCUCCGGGCUGGCCGCGCUGUCGCUCUGCCGCGCCCCGGUCUCGAAGUGAAGGUGCCUCUUCCUGGCUAGCCCACCUACAUGCUGUCAUCACUGGGCUUCUGCAACUCUCAGUCUUUGUGGCUGCACCCUUCCCUUCUGAAUCCUGAGGACCCAUGAGUGUCAGGCCCAUCAUGAAAUUGGUCGUCUUACUGGGGGCCUGGAAGUCAGUCUCCCACUAGCAGCCUUUGGAUGAAGACAUAGAACUCUCAGCUCUGCCUUCACCAUGCCUGCCUGCAUGCUGCCAUGUUCCCACCUUGAUGAUAAUGGACUGAACCUCUGAAACUGUCUUUCCCCUGCAGCUUUCCCGAGGCUGUACAGCAUUUAUUGGUGCUCAUCUGUUUGAGUAGAGCUGGCAUAGAGGACUGCCACCGGCUGGGAGGGGCCAUGGUACCAGAGGUCUUGGGUGCCUGAAGAUACUCCCCCUAGCCCUGAUGCCUUGGAAGAGAAGCCCUUCAAGACAAGCUGAUGCCAGGCCCUGGCCAGAGCUUCAUGUGGGAGGAAGGGUGACCAGCCAGUUUCACGCUCCAGCUGCCUGCUACCAUGCCUCCCCACGUCAUGGACUCUCCUUCUGUAACCAUAAGCCAAAAUAAACACUUUUCCCCCUCUGUAA
rnacentral:lncRNA from 1 species